GGCGGCGUGCUUAACACAUGCAAGUCGAACGAUGAACCUCCUUCGGGAGGGGAUUAGUGGCGAACGGGUGAGUAACACGUGGGCAAUCUGCCCUGCACUCUGGGACAAGCCCUGGAAACGGGGUCUAAUACCGGAUACGACACUCUCGGGCAUCCGAUGAGUGUGGAAAGCUCCGGCGGUGCAGGAUGAGCCCGCGGCCUAUCAGCUUGUUGGUGAGGUAAUGGCUCACCAAGGCGACGACGGGUAGCCGGCCUGAGAGGGCGACCGGCCACACUGGGACUGAGACACGGCCCAGACUCCUACGGGAGGCAGCAGUGGGGAAUAUUGCACAAUGGGCGAAAGCCUGAUGCAGCGACGCCGCGUGAGGGAUGACGGCCUUCGGGUUGUAAACCUCUUUCAGCAGGGAAGAAGCGAAAGUGACGGUACCUGCAGAAGAAGCGCCGGCUAACUACGUGCCAGCAGCCGCGGUAAUACGUAGGGCGCAAGCGUUGUCCGGAAUUAUUGGGCGUAAAGAGCUCGUAGGCGGCUUGUCGCGUCGGUUGUGAAAGCCCGGGGCUUAACCCCGGGUCUGCAGUCGAUACGGGCAGGCUAGAGUUCGGUAGGGGAGAUCGGAAUUCCUGGUGUAGCGGUGAAAUGCGCAGAUAUCAGGAGGAACACCGGUGGCGAAGGCGGAUCUCUGGGCCGAUACUGACGCUGAGGAGCGAAAGCGUGGGGAGCGAACAGGAUUAGAUACCCUGGUAGUCCACGCCGUAAACGGUGGGCACUAGGUGUGGGCGACAUUCCACGUCGUCCGUGCCGCAGCUAACGCAUUAAGUGCCCCGCCUGGGGAGUACGGCCGC
rnacentral:rRNA from 1 species